GCUUUGGUGGCUUAGCUCGGUAUAGCGCUUGCUUGGUAAGCAAGAGGUCGCGGGUCCGAAUCCCGCCCAAAGCU
rnacentral:tRNA from 2 species